AGAGUACUCCCUCCGUUCGGAAUUACUUGUCGCAGAAAUGGAUGUAUCUAGACGUAUUUUAGUUCUAGAUACAUCGAUUUCUGAGACAAGUAAUUCCGAACGGAGGGAGUAGAUA
rfam:Triticum aestivum genome assembly, contig: Triticum_aestivum_CS42_TGACv1_scaffold_113406_2AS